UACGUAGGGGGCAAGCGUUAUCCGGAUUUACUGGGUGUAAAGGGAGCGUAGACGGCCAGACAAGUCUGAAGUGAAAAUCCAGCGCUUAACGUUGGAAGUGCUUUGGAAACUGCCGGGCUGGAGUGCAGGAGGGGCAGGCGGAAUUCCUAGUGUAGCGGUGAAAUGCGUAGAUAUUAGGAGGAACACCAGUGGCGAAGGCGGCCUGCUGGACUGCAACUGACGUUGAGGCUCGAGGGCGUGGGGAGCAAACAGG
rnacentral:rRNA from 1 species